rnacentral:rRNA from 1 species
UGGGGAAUCUUCCACAAUGGGCGAAAGCCUGAUGGAGCAACGCCGCGUGAGUGAAGAAGGUCUUCGGAUCGUAAAGCUCUGUUGCACGGGACGAAAACCGAGCUUGAGAAUAUUGAGUUUGGGUGACGGUACCGAGCGAGGAAGCCACGGCUAACUACGUGCCAGCAGCCGCGGUAAUACGUAGGUGGCGAGCGUUGUCCGGAAUUAUUGGGCGUAAAGGGAGCGCAGGCGGACAUAUAAGUCCAUCUUAAAAGUGCGGGGCUCAACCCCGUGAGGGGAUGGAAACUGUAUGCCUUGAGUGCAGGAGAGGAAAGCGGAAUUCCCAGUGUAGCGGUGAAAUGCGUAGAUAUUGGGAGGAACACCAGUGGCGAAGGCGGCUUUCUGGACUGUAACUGACGCUGAGGCUCGAAAGCCAGGGGAGCGAACG